rnacentral:rRNA from 1 species
AGUGAACGCUGGCGGUAGGCCUAACACAUGCAAGUCGAACGGCAGCACAGUAAGAGCUUGCUCUUACGGGUGGCGAGUGGCGGACGGGUGAGGAAUACAUCGGAAUCUACUUUUUCGUGGGGGAUAACGUAGGGAAACUUACGCUAAUACCGCAUACGACCUACGGGUGAAAGCAGGGGAUCUUCGGACCUUGCGCGAUUGAAUGAGCCGCUGUCGGAUUAGCUAGUUGGCGGGGUAAAGGCCCACCAAGGGGGCGAUCCGUAGCCGGUCUGAGAGGAUGGUAGGCCACCCUGGAACUUGACCGCCGACCAUGCUCCUGCGGGAGGCAGCAGUGGGGAAUAUUUGACAAUGGGGGGAAGCCUGGUCCAGCCAUCCCGCGUGGGUUAAAGAGGCCUUCGGGUUGUAAAGCCCGUUUGUUGGGUAAGAAAAGCAUCAGGUUAAUACCCCGCUGGUCUGACGGUACCCAAAAAAUAAGCACCGGCUAACUUCGUG